AUGGUGACUAGUUUGUUCAAGGUAGCGAGAGUGUGGUUAAGAUAUACUAAUAUUCCCCCGACCCCCGUGUCGUCUCCUCUGGAGGCGACUCGGGCGGACCCCCGACCCCCGCCGCCGAAGCCCACCCCUCACCCCCCUCCUCCCUCGCCGCCGCCGGCACACGUUGCUGGGCAAAGCCCGCUGGCGGCUGGCAGCGGCGGGACCUGCCCUUUUUCCGUUUGGGAGCUCCAGGCGGCUGGCUGCGGCUGGUGGAUGUCGUGGUGGUGCGCGGCGGCAGUCCGGCUUGGCGAGCUCUCGAGUUCCGGCGGCUCGGGGUUUCCCGGGGUUGGCUGUUGUGCGGCGCGUGCGGUGGAGCCGGGCACGACCUGUGCUGGUGCAGGCGCGCGUGCAUCUGCCCGGAUCUGGCUGGUGCCGCCGCCGUUGCGUGGCUCCAGAUCUGGGCAGGCGCCCGCGUUCUCCGGCCUCCCUCCUGCCACCCUGCGCUUCGGCGUAGCUGGCGCGUUGCCAAGGAGUCCAAAUCACUCAAAUCCCUGUCUCUGGGCGAAGGUCCAUGAUCUGGUUUUGCUGGAUCGGGCGAUGACGACGUUGUGUACGUCGCUACCUCCAUGGAGGCAUCGUCUUGGAGACCUUGGGUGGUUGUUGGUGGUGGUGGUGCGGCCGGCUUGGGGUCGGCGGUGGUUUUGUUCUCUUCUUUGGCGGUGUUCGUGCUCGAGUGCUCCUUGGUGUGUCUCUGCUAGGCGGUGCCCUGCGGCUACGCCGGUGGCACACAGGUGUCGUGGCGCAGUCUCGGCCUCGUAUGACCGUUCGAAUGUACCCCCAACACAGCUGGUGUCGCGGCCUUGUGCAGUCUUGGUUGCGCAUGUGCCUUUCGAUUGCGUCGACGGUACAGUGCCAUGGUUUGGUCUGCUAGGCGAUGCUCUUCGACUAUGCUGGUGGCACGCAGGCGUUGUGACAUCCGUCUCGGUCUCGUGUGACCCUUCGAAUGUGCCCCACGACACAGGUGGUGUCGCGGCGUUGUGCAGUCUCGGAUGCGCGAAGCCUUUCGACUGUGUCGACGGUGCAGUGUCGUGGUUUGGUUUUGGUUGGCUGAUUCCGUUCGAUUGCACAGGCGGCGCUCUUUGUUUGUUUUGUGUUGUGUUUCCCUCUUUGUUCUUUCCCUUGUGUGUUGUCAAUAUGUGUUGUUUUGCUUUAUCUCUUCUCCCUUGUGCCUCAUGUAUCUCUGGUUCACUUGAACCCUAUCUUGCAACAAGGCUACAAAGUCUUAUAGGCAAAAUGAAUACAAUUCAGGUGGGAGGCUUCGCCUCCCCCGGUGACCUUAAAAAAUGCUAUCUUCUAUGCAUCCAUCUGGACAAGAAAACAAGCGAUGUGCAACGGCCAGUUCAGAGAUGGGUGAAACCUGAUGUAGAUUCUGUGAAAAUCAAUGUUGAUGUUGCUUUUCAUCCGGAUGGUACAGGAGGAUGGGGUAUGCUGGCCAGAGAUAAUGAGGGGGUGGUCAUUUGUGAGGCAACUGGAUACCUAGUACAUCAGACUGAAGCUCUUCAUGCCGAGGCGUCGACCCUUCUGAAUGCCAUCCAGGUAGCCGAGAUACAAGGGAUAGGACGUAUUGUUUUUGAAACGGAUUGCAUGGCUCUCCAGCAUGCAGUAUCCUCUACUAGCCUUGAUCAUGGUCCUCUUGGUGUGCUCUUCAGGCUCUUGACUAUACCAUGGAACGCAACGGUCGCGUUCAAUGACGCAACCAACACCAACCUAUGGUUUGAGGCAACAAGGGAGUGUACAUAUGUUGUUCGGGUGAACGGAAGCCCAACAACCAUCGAGAUAUACGACGAAAACUAG
rnacentral:rRNA from 1 species